CGGCAGAGCUUCAUUAGGGGUUGGAUGGAAGUAGCACACACACCCAUACACACACACACACACACACACACACACCAGUCUUUCAUAGAGAUUAGUAGAAUUUAAACAUUUGGGAUUAGUUGAGAUGUGAAGGAUUUUUAACCAACAAUUAAUCCCUUUCUUUUCCGUGUGGCAUGAUCCCUCUCUCUUUUCCCUUUUGACAGGAAGGAAAGGAGAAGGAGCCUGGAGAGGGAAGGGAGGACAGUGAAGGAGAGAAUGGGGAAGAAGGGAGGAAAGAGAUAACUGUGUUUGCAGAACCAGGGACGUGUUGGCAGUGAUUUCUACCACGUGGAGCAGCUCUCUGCUCAGACUGGGUUCCUACCAGAAUACCAGCGUUCGUCGAAUUUGCACACAGAGGAGCAGCUCCGGGAUUUGACGCCGGAAGCAGUGGCGUUAGCUCCUGAACUCCGAUCCAGCAGCCUGACGAAACGGCGGA